GUGAGCAUAGUUUAACAAAGACAUUAGAUUGUGAUUCUAAAGAUAGGGGCGAAACCCCCCUUGCCCACC
rnacentral:tRNA from 1 species